AUGGGCGGUGCCGUGAAGGUGUACGGGGUGGGGGCGUCUCCGUUCGUGGCGACGGUGCUCUUGUGCCUGGAGGAGACGGGCGCAGACUACGAGCUCGUCCCCCUCGACAUGGCGGCGCGUGAGCAGAGGGCCGAGCCACACCUCUCCCGAAACCCUUUCGGGAAGAUCCCAGUGUUAGAGGACGGAGAGCUGACUCUCUUCGAAUCGCGCGCGAUUUCUCGGUACGUGCUCCGCAAGUACGGAGGCACCAACCCCACCACCGAUCUUCUAAGGGAAUCCAGCCUCGAGGAAUCAGCCAUGGUGGACGUGUGGACGGAGGUGGAGGCCCACCAGUACCAGCCGGCCAUCGAACACAUCGUCCAGCAGUGCGUCAUCCUGCCGUUCAUCGGCGGCGCGCGAGACCAGGCCGUUGUCGACGAGAACGUGGGGAAGCUGGAGAAGGUCCUGGACGUGUAUGAGGCGCGGCUGUCGACGCACGCGUACCUCGCCGGAGAUUUCUUCAGCCUCGCCGACCUCGUCCACUUCGGUAUCACCUACUACCUGGUGGCCGGAACCGAGUACGCCACGUUGCUGGAGUCGCGCGCGAACGUGUGGGCGUGGUGGGGGCGGAUCAUGGCCAGGCCGUCGGUCAAGAAGGUGGCGCCGUUAAUCCACCUCUGGUUGAAGCCAUCUUCGUCUGCUUAA
rnacentral:rRNA from 1 species